rnacentral:tRNA from 1 species
UAAAUUAAGUAUAAAAUUUACAAUUCAUUUACAAUGAAAAGAUUCCUAUAAGGAAAUUUAU